rnacentral:rRNA from 1 species
UACAGAGGGUGCAAGCGUUAAUCGGAAUUACUGGGCGUAAAGCGUGCGUAGACGGUUACAUAAGUCGGGUGUGAAAGCCCCGGGCUCAACCUGGGGAUUGCAUUCGAGACUGCGUAGCUAGGGUACGGUAGAGGGAAGCGGAAUUUCCGGUGUAGCGGUGAAAUGCGUAGAUAUCGGAAGGAACACCAGUGGCGAAAGCGGCUUCCUGGACCAGUACCGACGUUCAGGCACGAAAGCGUGGGGAGCAAACAGG